rnacentral:rRNA from 1 species
CCUACGGGAGGCUGCAGUAGGGAAUCUUGCACAAUGGGGGAAACCCUGAUGCAGCAACGCCGCGUGGGGGAUGAAGGUUUUCGGAUUGUAAACUCCUUUUGUUAGAGAAGAUAAUGACGGUAUCUAACGGAUAAGCACCGGCUAACUCCGUGCCAGCAGCCGCGGUAAUACGGAGGGUGCAAGCGUUACUCGGAAUCACUGGGCGUAAAGGGCGCGUAGGCGGGAUAGCAAGUCAGAUGUGAAAGCCUAUGGCUUAACCAUAGAACUGCAUUUGAAACUGGUAGUCUAGAGUAUGGGAGAGGUAAGUGGAAUUCUUGGUGUAGCGGUAAAAUCCGUAGAUAUCAAGAGGAACACUCAUGGCGAAGGCGA